rnacentral:rRNA from 1 species
CAGUCGCCGCGGUAAUACGUAGGUGGCAAGCGUUGUCCGGAAUUAUUGGGCGUAAAGGGCUCGCAGGCGGUUUCUUAAGUCUGAUGUGAAAGCCCCCGGCUCAACCGGGGAGGGUCAUUGGAAACUGGGAAACUUGAGUGCAGAAGAGGAGAGUGGAAUUCCACGUGUAGCGGUGAAAUGCGUAGAGAUGCGGAGGAACACCAGUGGCGAAGGCGACUCUCUGGUCUGUAACUGACGCUGAGGAGCGAAAGCGUGGGGAGCGAACAGGAUUAGAUACCCCAGUAGUCCCUGUCUCUUAUAC